rnacentral:rRNA from 1 species
UGGGGAAUUUUGCGCAAUGGGGGAAACCCUGACGCAGCAACGCCGCGUGGAGGAUGAAGUCCUUCGGGACGUAAACUCCUUUCGAUCGGGACGAUUAUGACGGUACCGGAAGAAGAAGCCCCGGCUAACUUCGUGCCAGCAGCCGCGGUAAUACGAGGGGGGCGAGCGUUGUUCGGAAUUAUUGGGCGUAAAGGGUGCGUAGGCGGCUUGGUAAGUCUUAUGUGAAAUCUAUGGGCUCAACUCAUAGACUGCAUGAGAAACUGCCGGGCUCGAGUGUGGGAGAGGUGAGUGGAAUUUCCGGUGUAGCGGUGAAAUGCGUAGAUAUCGGAAGGAACACCUGUGGCGAAAGCGGCUCACUGGACCACAACUGACGCUGAUGCACGAAAGCUAGGGGAGCAAACAGGAUUAGAUACCCUGGUAGUCCUAGCCCUAAACGAUGAUUGCUUGGUGUGACGGGUACCCAAUCCCGCCGUGCCGUAGCUAACGCGUUAAGCAAUCCGCCUGGGGAGUACGGUCGCAAGGCUG